rnacentral:rRNA from 1 species
GAACGAGGAUAACGACUGGAAACGGUCGCUAAAACUGGAUAGGAUCAUUUGAGGCAUCUCGAAUGAUUUAAAGGGGCUUUCAAGCCACACUUAGAGAAAGGCCUGCGGCGCAUUAGCUAGUUGGUGGGGUAGAGGCCUACCAAGGCGAUGAUGCGUAGCCGGACUGAGAGGUCGAACGGCCACAUUGGGACUGAGACACGGCCCAAACUCCUACGGGAGGCAGCAGUAGGGAAUUUUCGGCAAUGGGGGAAACCCUGACCGAGCAACGCCGCGUGAAUGAAGACGUAUUUCGGUAUGUAAAGUUCUUUUAUUAAGGAAGAAUAUCACGGAUAGGAAAUGAUCUGUGAGUGACGGUACUUAAUGAAUAAGCCCCGGCUAACUAUGUGCCAGCCGCCGC